rnacentral:rRNA from 1 species
CAGUCGAACGAGAAUUGCUUACACCGAGUGCUUGCACUCACCGUAAGGAAUUCGAGUGGCGGACGGGUGAGUAACACGUGGGUAACCUGCCUAUCAGAGGGGGAUAACACUUGGAAACAGGUGCUAAUACCGCAUAACAUUGAAAAGCGCAUGCUUUUCAAUUAAAAGGCGCUUCUGGUGUCACUGAUAGAUGGACCCGCGGCGUAUUAGCUAGUUGGUGGGGUAACGGCCUACCAAGGCAAUGAUACGUAGCCGAGUUGAGAGACUGAUCGGCCACAAUGGGACUGAGACACGGCCCAUACUCCUACGGGAGGCAGCAGUAGGGAAUCUUCCACAAUGGGCGCAAGCCUGAUGGAGCAACGCCGCGUGCGUGAAGAAGGGUCUUCGGAUCGUAAAGCGCUGUUGUUAGAGAAGAACACGGAUAAGAGUAACUGUUUAUGCGUUGACGGUAUCUAACCAGAAAGUCACGGCUAACUACGUGCCAGCAGCCGCGGUAAUACGUAGGUGGCAAGCGUUGUCCGGAUUUAUUGGGCGUAAAGGGAACGCAGGCUGUUUUUUAAGUCUGAUGUGAAAGCCUUCGGCUUAACCGAAGAAGUGCAUUGGAAACUGGGAGACUUGAGUGCAGAAGAGGACAGUGGAACUCCAUGUGUAGCGGUGAAAUGCGUAGAUAUAUGGAAGAACACCAGUGGCGAAGGCGGCUGUCUGGUCUGUAACUGACGCUGAGGCUCGAAAGCAUGGGUAGCGAACAGGAUUAGAUACCCUGGUAGUCCAUGCCGUAAACGAUGAGUGCUAAGUGUUGGAGGGUUUCCGCCCUUCAGUGCUGCAGCUAACGCAUUAAGCACUCCGCCUGGGGAGUACGACCGCAAGGUUGAAACUCAAAGGAAUUGACGGGGGCCCGCACAAGCGGUGGAGCAUGUGGUUUAAUUCGAAGCUACGCGAAGAACCUUACCAGGUCUUGACAUCUUGCGCUAACCUAAGAGAUUAGGCGUUCCCUUCGGGGACGCAAUGACAGGUGGUGCAUGGUUGUCGUCAGCUCGUGUCGUGAGAUGUUGGGUUAAGUCCCGCAACGAGCGCAACCCUUGUUACUAGUUGCCAGCAUUCAGUUGGGCACUCUAGUGAGACUGCCGGUGACAAACCGGAGGAAAGGUGGGGACGACGUCAGAUCAUCAUGCCCCUUAUGACCUGGGCUACACACGUGCUACAAUGGACG